rnacentral:rRNA from 1 species
ACGAACGCUGGCGGCACGCUUAACACAUGCAAGUCGAACGAGAGAAGAGGAGCUUGCUUUUCUGAUCUAGUGGCGGACGGGUGAGUAACACGUGAGCAAUCUGCCUUUCAGAGGGGGAUACCGAUUGGAAACGAUCGUUAAUACCGCAUAACAUAAUUGAACCGCAUGAUUUGAUUAUCAAAGAUUUAUCGCUGAAAGAUGAGCUCGCGUCUGAUUAGCUAGUUGGUAAGGUAACGGCUUACCAAGGCGACGAUCAGUAGCCGGACUGAGAGGUUGAUCGGCCACAUUGGGACUGAGACACGGCCCAGACUCCUACGGGAGGCAGCAGUGGGGAAUAUUGCACAAUGGAGGAAACUCUGAUGCAGCGAUGCCGCGUGAGGGAAGAAGGUUUUAGGAUUGUAAACCUCUGUCUUCAGGGACGAAAAAUGACGGUACCUGAGGAGGAAGCUCCGGCUAACUACGUGCCAGCAGCCGCGGUAAUACGUAGGGAGCGAGCGUUGUCCGGAAUUACUGGGUGUAAAGGGAGCGUAGGCGGGAUCGCAAGUCAGAUGUGAAAACUAUGGGCUUAACCCAUAAACUGCAUUUGAAACUGUGGUUCUUGAGUGAAGUAGAGGUAAGCGGAAUUCCUAGUGUAGCGGUGAAAUGCGUAGAUAUUAGGAGGAACACCAGUGGCGAAGGCGGCUUGCUGGGCUUUUACUGACGCUGAGGCUCGAAAGUGUGGGGAGCAAACAGGAUUAGAUACCCUGGUAGUCCACACCGUAAACGAUGAUUACUAGGUGUGGGGGGACUGACCCCUUCCGUGCCGCAGCAAACGCAAUAAGUAAUCCACCUGGGGAGUACGACCGCAAGGUUGAAACUCAAAGGAAUUGACGGGGGCCCGCACAAGCAGUGGAGUAUGUGGAUUAAUUCGAAGCAACGCGAAGAACCUUACCAGGUCUUGACAUCGUAUGCAUAGCUCAGAGAUGAGUGAAAUCUCUUCGGAGACAUAUAGACAGGUGGUGCAUGGUUGUCGUCAGCUCGUGUCGUGAGAUGUUGGGUUAAGUCCCGCAACGAGCGCAACCCUUACUGUUAGUUGCUACGCAAGAGCACUCUAGCAGGACUGCCGUUGACAAAACGGAGGAAGGUGGGGAUGACGUCAAAUCAUCAUGCCCCUUAUGACCUGGGCCUCACACGUACUACAAUGGCUGUCAACAGAGGGAAGCAAAGCCGCGAGGUGGAGCAAACCCCUAAAAGCAGUCUUAGUUCGGAUUGUAGGCUGCAACCCGCCUACAUGAAGUCGGAAUUGCUAGUAAUCGCAGAUCAGCAUGCUGCGGUGAAUACGUUCCCGGGCCUUGUACACACCGCCCGUCACGCCAUGGGAGUCGGUAACACCCGAAGCCUGUAGUCUAACCGCAAGGAGGACGCAGUCGAAGGUGGGAUUGAUGACUGGGGUG